CGGUGGUCUGAUAUGUGGCUCAGUUUCUCACUACGUCACGUCCGGUUUGUUGUGAAGUCGGUCAGUCUGGCACUUCAAUAAUAUAUUUGGAGAAAACUGGCGUGCCUCGGCAUAUAGAAAGUCUACACUCUCAGGUCCUGUGGAAACACUGAGAAAUUGUAGUUUCAUUUUACAACUCUGCACGGUCCGAUGCACGCUGCUAGUGAAAACUUUAUGACAUGGGGCGGAAUAGAAAAGAUUCAGAAGGGCUACCAAUAGAGAAUUAUAGGAAACAGAUUGGUAAACAAGAUUACAAGAAGUCAAAGAAAGAAUUGAAAGCAGUAAAAAAGGCAGCAGAGGCCAGAAAAUCUGGAUUGAAUAUAAAGG